rnacentral:rRNA from 1 species
UGCCUGGCGGCGAUAGCGCGGUGGUCCCACCUGACCCCAUGCCGAACUCAGAAGUGAAACGCCGUAGCGCCGAUGGUAGUGUGGGGUCUCCCCAUGCGAGAGUAGGGAACUGCCAGGUUU